UCUAAUGCCUUUGUUUCAAUUGAUGCAGGAUGGAUAGGGUUUGCAUCUAUAUUGCUUACAAUGGAAAAUGGACUACAGAUAACAAGUAUUUGUAUCAUGAGAUCAAAUUAAUUCUUGUGAAUGAUGGAAUAACAUUUGAAGAUCUUGUCGAAAAGAUUUUUCAGGUCCUAAAACUGAAAAAGGGCGAAUUCUUGUGAAUGAUGGAAUAACGUUUGAAGAUUUUGUCGAAAAGAUUUUUCAGGUCCUAAAUCUGAAAAGGGGCGAGGUUCAACCAACUAUUUGGUUUGACACGAAUCUAGAAACAAGCAAAGGGAUGCUAGUGACAAAUGACGAGGAAGUUACUACUUGCAUCUACUUGCUGAAAAAUGAUCCAAAUUUCAAGACUUCCCGUUUCAUUGUUGAUAUGGCGGAAAGGAACUCUUUGUCAGCAAGAUAUUCAAAAACCGAAGAAGUCAAUAUUGUACAACACGAGGAA
rnacentral:lncRNA from 1 species